rnacentral:rRNA from 1 species
GACGAACGCUGGCGGCGUGCUUAACACAUGCAAGUCGAACGGUAAGGCCCUUCGGGGUACACGAGUGGCGAACGGGUGAGUAACACGUGGGUGAUCUGCCCUGCACUUCGGGAUAAGCCUGGGAAACUGGGUCUAAUACCGGAUAGGACCACUGCCUGCAUGGGUGGUGGUGGAAAGCUUUUGAGGUGUGGGAUGGGCCCGCGGCCUAUCAGCUUGUUGGUGGGGUGAUGGCCUACCAAGGCGACGACGGGUAGCCGGCCUGAGAGGGUGACCGGCCACACUGGGGCUGAGAUACGGCCCAGACUCCUACGGGAGGCAGCAGUGGGGAAUAUUGCACAAUGGGCGCAAGCCUGAUGCAGCGACGCCGCGUGAGGGAUGACGGCCUUCGGGUUGUAAACCUCUUUCAGCACCGACGAAGCGCAAGUGACGGUAGGUGCAGAAGAAGGACCGGCCAACUACGUGCCAGCCGCCGCGGUAA